rnacentral:rRNA from 1 species
GUGUCGAUGAAGAGCGCAGCCAACUGUGUGAAUUAAUGUGAAUCGCAGACUGCUUUGAACAUCGACCUCUUGAACGCACAUUGCGGCCGUAGGCUUGCCUACGGCCACGUGCUGGCCGAGGGUCGGCU